rnacentral:rRNA from 1 species
GCUAAACAGCUAGCUUAAUUAAACAAAUAUAUAAACAACAUUAAUCACUUUAAUAAGACAACAACAUACAAAUUAAACCAUUUUUCCGCCCAAGUAUGUGAGACAAAAAAGGCAACACUAAAGCAAUAGAAAAAGUACCGCAAGGGAACGCUGAAAAAGAAAUGAAAUAAAUCAGACAAGCCAAACAAAGCAGAGCUAAAUCCUCGUACCUUUUGCAUCAUGAUUUAGCCAGAUAUGCUUGAGCAAAAGGAAUUUUAGUUCAAACCCCCGAAACUAGGUGAGCUACCCCGAGACAGCCUAUAAAACUAGGGCCCACCCAUCUCUGUGGCAAAAGAGUGGGAAGAUCUCCGGGUAGAGGCGACAAACCUACCGAACUUAGUUAUAGCUGGUUGCCUAGGAAAUGAAUAGAAGUUCAGCCUCAUAAUCCUCCACUCACCAACCAAACGAAGCAGAGAAAAUUAUGAAAGUUAGUUGAAGGGGGUACAGCCCCUUCGAAACAGGACACAACCUCUAUAAGCAGGUUAAAGAUUAUAUUAAACAAGACUGUCUGCACCGGUGGGCCUAAAAGCAGCCACCCC